rnacentral:rRNA from 1 species
AACGAACGCUGGCGGCAGGCUUAACACAUGCAAGUCGAACGCAUCCUUCGGGGUGAGUGGCAGACGGGUGAGUAACGCGUGGGAACGUGCCCUUCAGUUCGGGAUAACCCAGGGAAACUUGGGCUAAUACCGGAUACGUGCGAGAGCAGAAAGAUUUAUCGCUGAAGGAUCGGACCGCGUCUGAUUAGCUAGUUGGUGGGGUAAUGGCCAACCAAGGCGACGACAAGUAGCUGGUCUGAGAGGAUGAUCAGCCACAUUGGGACUGAGACACGGCCCAAACUCCUACGGGAGGCAGCAGUGGGGAAUAUUGGACAAUGGGCGCAAGCCUGAUCCAGCCAUGCCGCGUGAGUGAUGAAGGCCUUAGGGUUGUAAAGCUCUUUCGUCCGGGACGAUAAUGACGGUACCGGAAGAAGAAGCCCCGGCUAACUUCGUGCCAGCCGCCGCCGUAA